AUUGAACGCUGGCGGCAUGCCUUACACAUGCAAGUCGAACGGCAGCGCGGACUUCGGUCUGGCGGCGAGUGGCGAACGGGUGAGUAAUACAUCGGAACGUACCCUGUUGUGGGGGAUAACUAGUCGAAAGAUUAGCUAAUACCGCAUACGACCUGAGGGUGAAAGUGGGGGACCGCAAGGCCUCACGCAGCAGGAGCGGCCGAUGUCUGAUUAGCUAGUUGGUGGGGUAAAGGCCCACCAAGGCGACGAUCAGUAGCUGGUCUGAGAGGACGAUCAGCCACCCUGGGACUGAGACACCGCCCAGACUCCUACGGGAGGCAGCAGUGGGGAAUUUUGGACAAUGGGGGCAACCCUGAUCCAGCAAUGCCGCGUGUGUGAAGAAGGCCUUCGGGUUGUAAAGCACUUUUGUCCGGAAAGAAAUCGCGCUGGUUAAUACCUGGCGUGGAUGACGGUACCGGAAGAAUAAGCACCGGCUAACUACGUG
rnacentral:rRNA from 1 species